rnacentral:lncRNA from 1 species
GCGGGACACCUCCUCCUCCUAGACAUUCCCCAAGGACCGGACGAGAGCGCGGCUGACUGCGACUUAUGUCUAGAUUGGCCUAGACGUCCUAGUUGAGUCUUAGUCCUGGGAAGGGUCAGGCGGGUGGACGCUGAGUGAGGGACAGUGUUGUGUAGGACAAGGGUGUGGGCAGAUAGGGGCUAAAUGCUUGGGACGGUCAGCGAGAACCGCGUAUCCGCUCCGCCGAGGCAGGGCAUGAACCAAAGAGCGACAACAGACUAACUACCAGGGGGAACCACGGGCAGGAUGGGCAAGGAAGCAGAGGACACGACACUCUUACUUUUGGGGCAGGGCCAGGAAAGGCCACCAAGACCGGCUACCGUGACACAACUCUUUAUCUGAUUCAGUGGGUGGCUCUGAAAAGAGCCUUUUUAGGAGCUCGCGGGGGUUAUAUCACAGAGACGCGGGCCGACGCGAGCAGUGGCCUCACUUGCCCUUCGCCUUAUGGUGGCUCUCCGUCUUCUUGGGCAGCAGCACGGCCUGGAUGUUGGGCAGGACGCCGCCCUGCGCGAUCGUCACUUUGCCCAGCAGCUUGUUGAGCUCCUCGUCGUUGCGGAUGGCCAGCUGCAGGUGGCGCGGGAUGAUGCGCGUCUUCUUGUUGUCGCGGGCCGCGUUGCCCGCCAGCUCCAGGAUCUCGGCCGUUAGGUACUCCAGCACCGCCGCCAUGUAUACCGGCGCGCCGGCACCCACACGCUCCGCGUAGUUGCCCUUGCGCAGCAGCCGGUGCACACGCCCCACCGGGAACUGUAGCCCGGCCCGGGAAGACCGCGACUUGGCCUUGGCGCGGGCCUUGCCUCCUUGCUUGCCACGACCGGACAUCACGAAAGCGCAAACAGACGAACGGCCACAACCAGGAAACGGUACUCCGGCGCCGACGCCUCACCCUUUUAUAGACGCAGACCCGAUUGUCCGCCCGACGCUCUCAUUGGCUCACACGCGUCCUGACGCCGUGGCCAAUAGGAGCGCGCGGACAGAAGCCUCUCAUUUACAUAAGACCGGCUCCCUCGCCCCGGCGCCGCCCUGGAACGCGCGAAUCACGACGCGCGUGCUCGGUGGCUUCAUUUGCGUGCGGCCGUCGUUGCGACACUCCGCGGGUCGCCGGGCGGCUGGGCUUGCUCGCUGUUUCUCCUGCUCUGGAAGCUGGCAAAGUGUGCCCUGCAUCCAAGAGGGCCUGAGUUAAUCACUUACUUAAGUGUAGGUUUUCCUUCGAGGAAUACUGGAAAUUUAGUUUUUUAUACCUAAGGAGUAGCGGAUAAUUCUCAUAGCCUCUUUAUUUUUCUACUUGAAACAGUGUAAAACCUACUUGUUUCAUUUUAAGCGUUUAUCGCUGGGAGCCUUACUUUAAAAUCGUUAAAUUUAAAGGUUAUUUUCUUAAUCCAUACACAUCUGAGAGUGCUUGAAAAGACCAAGUACAGUUCGCCUGGGGUUUACUAAAAUUAUUUUUUUGCCACUCAGAUUUGUACAUAAGGAAUCGAAAUAACUUAAAAAGUAAACCUUACGCUGCUGCUUUUGUCUAUCAUUUGUCCUGAUGGCUCUCAGAAGCUCCUUUUAGGAGCCUUCCAGGCUGUCUGGGGCUAGAGUGACUCGGAGUACCAUAUCCGGACUGCCAUUAUUUUAGCAUCGCAUCAGUUAUGCUCGGUAAAAUACAGCCAGCAUUUUUCAAUCUCUGAAAUUUGUAAUAAGGUUCGUUAUCGAUGCAUUAGAAUCACUGAUUAGGCAUAUUGAGUGUAAGCUUAGCUCUAGUAACAGGUAUAUUGUUACAUAGUAACAUAGUUACAAUCUUUAUAUUUUACAUUGUUACAUAUUGUGGAGAUGGAAUUCUAGUCUUGUGGAGGAAUCGGCAAGAGUGUAGCACUAGGAUUUUGGGUUGAAGCUAGGUAGGCAGUGGAUUUUUUUGGAUUUUGGUGGGUUUUUUUGUUUGUUUGUUUGUUUUUUUUUUGGUUUUUUCGAGACAGGGUUUCUCUGUAUAGCCCUGGCUAUCCUGGAACUCAGUCUGUAGACCAGGCUGGCCUCGAACUAAGAAAUCUGCUUGCUUCUGCCUCCCAAGUACUGGGAUUAAAGGUGUGUGCCACCACCGCCAGGCUUAGGUAGGCAGUGUUAUUAGGAUGGCUAGCUGAAAAGCAUUUUAAGUUGAGAAGUUGAAGGUUUAUCAAGGAUUCUGAUUAAAUUUGAUAUUGAUAUUUAUGUGCAUAUGUGGACUCACAAAUUUGAGAGGUGGAUCAAGGGUUCAGCAAAGACUACACAACCCUGCAUUUAUGGACUGACUGCAGAUCACGAGAAUGACAUCCUAUGACCUUAGAAUAUACUUUUGAUCCUUAAGUAUUUGUCUUGAAAUAUAAUUUGGUACGUGUUAUUCCUGAUAUGUGUUAUUCCUAUAAAGGAUGUUAU